AUUGAACGCUGGCGGCAGGCUUAACACAUGCAAGUCGAACGAGUGGCGGACGGGUGAGUAAUGCUUGGGAAUCUAGAUUAUGGAGGGGGAUAACUACGGGAAACUGUAGCUCAAACCGCGUACCAUAGGCUGAGCCCACUGGGGAUUAGGUAGUUGGUGAGGGAAAGGCGACCCAAGCCGACGAUCUCUAGCUGGUCUGAGAGGAUGACCAGCCACACUGGGACUGGGCCACAGCCCAGACUCCUACGUGAGGCAGCAGUGGGGAAUAUUGCGCAAUUGGGGCAACCUGACGCAGCCAUGCCGCGUGACUGAAGAAGGCCUUCGGGUUGUAAAGUUCUUUCGGUAGCGAGGCGUUAACUACAGAAGAAGCACCGGCUAACGCCGUGCCAGCAGCCGCGGUAAUUC
rnacentral:rRNA from 1 species